rnacentral:rRNA from 1 species
GACGAACCAUGCAAACGUUAUUCGGAUUCACUGGGCGUAAAGGGUGCGCAGGCGGUCGUGUGUGUCAGGUGUGAAAUCCCGGAGCUUAACUCCGGAACUGCGCCUGAAACUACACGACUAGAGCAUUGGAGAGGGAAGUGGAAUUCAUGGUGUAGCAGUGAAAUGCGUAGAUAUCAUGGGGAACACCAGAGGCGAAGGCGACUUCCUGGACAAUUGCUGACGCUCAGGCACGAAAGCAUGGGGAGCAAAAGGG